UUAAGUUCAGCGGGUAUUCCUACCUGAUCCGAGGUCAACCUUUCAAAAAUUGAGGGUUUACCGGCAUGUCAUAUAAGAGUUUCAAGGUGUAAGCUAAGCAUUACUACACAGGGAAGCUGCAAAUACAACAGCCGAUGCAUUUCGGCGGCCGCGGUAACGCGGGUCCUCCAACACCAAGCAGAGCUUGAGUGGUGAAAUGA
rnacentral:misc_RNA from 1 species